GAACGCGAAGAACCUUACCUGGGUUUGACAUGCACAGGACGCUGGUAGAGAUAUCAGUUCCCUUGUGGCCUGUGUGCAGGUGGUGCAUGGCUGUCGUCAGCUCGUGUCGUGAAAUGUUGGGUUAAGUCCCGCAACGAGCGCAACCCUUGUCCUAUGUUGCCAGCGGGUUAUGCCGGGGACUCGUAGGAGACUGCCGGGGUCAACUCGGAGGAAGGUGGGGAUGACGUCAAGUCAUCAUGCCCCUUAUGUCCAGGGCUUCACACAUGCUACAAUGGCCGGUACAAAGGGCUGCGAUGCCGUGAGGUGGAGCGAAUCCUUGUAAAGCCGGUCUCAGUUCGGAUCGGGGUCUGCAACUCGACCCCGUGAAGUCGGAGUCGCUAGUAAUCGCAGAUCAGCAACGCUGCGGUGAAUACGUUCCCGGGUCUUGUACACACC
rnacentral:rRNA from 1 species